UACAGAGGGGGCAAGCGUUGUUCGGAAUUACUGGGCGUAAAGGGCGCGUAGGCGGCCUUCUAAGUCGAACGUGAAAUCCCCGGGCUCAACCCGGGAACUGCGUCCGAUACUGGAAGGCUUGAAUCCGGGAGAGGGAUGUGGAAUUCCAGGUGUAGCGGUGAAAUGCGUAGAUAUGCGGAGGAACACCAGUGGCGAAGGCGGCCUCCUGGUACACUCCUGACACUCAGACGCGAAAGCUAGGGGAGCGAACGGG
rnacentral:rRNA from 1 species